rnacentral:rRNA from 1 species
GAUGAACGCUGGCGGCGUGCCUAAUACAUGCAAGUCGAGCGAACGGACGAGAAGCUUGCUUUUCUGAUGUUAGCGGCGGACGGGUGAGUAACACGUGGAUAACCUACCUAUAAGACUGGGAUAACUUCGGGAAACCGGAGCUAGUACCGGAUAAUAUUUUGAACCGCAUGGUUCAAAAGUGAAAGACGGUCUUGCUGUCACUUAUAGAUGGAUCCGCGCUGCAUUAGCUAGUUGGUAAGGUAACGGCUUACCAAGGCAACGAUGCAUAGCCGACCUGAGAGGGUGAUCGGCCACACUGGAACUGAGACACGGUCCAGACUCCUACGGGAGGCAGCAGUAGGGAAUCUUCCGCAAUGGGCGAAAGCCUGACGGAGCAACGCCGCGUGAGUGAUGAAGGUCUUCGGAUCGUAAAACUCUGUUAUUAGGGAAGAACAUAUGUGUAAGUAACUGUGCACAUCUUGACGGUACCUAAUCAGAAAGCCACGGCUAACUACGUG